AACGUACGCUGGCGGCACGCCUAACACAUGCAAGUCGAACGAAGUAGCAAUACUUAGUGGCAGACGGGUGAGUAACAUGUGGGUAUCUGCCCUUUGGCCUGGAAUAACACGAGGAAACUUGUGCUAAUACCGGAUAAGUCUUUACGGAGAAAGCUUUAUGCACCAUUGGAUGAGCCCGCACUUGAUUAGUUUGUUGGUGGGGUAAUGGCCCACCAAGACUGUGAUCAAUAGCUGAUUUGAGAGGAUGAUCAGCCACAUUGGGACUGAGACACGGCCCAAACUCCUACGGGAGGCAGCAGUGGGGAAUCUUGCACAAUGGAGGAAACUCUGAUGCAGCGAUGCCGCGUGAGUGAAGAAGGCCCUUGGGUUGUAAAGCUCUUUCGUCGGGGAAGAAAAUGACUGUACCCGAAUAAGAAGGUCCGGCUAACUUCGUGCCAGCAGCCGCGGUAAUACGAAGGGACCUAGCGUAGUUCGGAAUUACUGGGCUUAAAGAGUUCGUAGGUGGUUAAAAAAGUUAGUGGUGAAAUCCCAGAGCUUAACUCUGGAACUGCCAUUAAAACUUUUUAGCUAGAGUAUGAUAGAGGAAAGCAGAAUUUCUAGUGUAGAGGUGAAAUUCGUAGAUAUUAGAAAGAAUACCAAUUGCGAAGGCAGCUUUCUGGAUCAUUACUGACACUGAGGAACGAAAGCAUGGGUAGCGAAGAGGAUUAGAUACCCUCGUAGUCCAUGCCGUAAACGAUGUGUGUUAGACGUUGGAAAUUUAUUUUCAGUGUCGCAGCGAAAGCGAUAAACACACCGCCUGGGGAGUACGACCGCAAGGUUAAAACUCAAAUGAAUUGACGGGGACCCGCACAAGUAGUGGAGCAUGUGGUUUAAUUCGAAGAUACGCGCAGAACCUUACCAACACUUGACAUGUUCGUCGCGACUCUAAGAGAUUAGAGUUUUCGGUUCGGCCGGACGAAACACAGGUGCUGCAUGGCUGUCGUCAGCUCGUGUCGUGAGAUGUUGGGUUAAGUCCCGCAACGAGCGCAACCCUCACUUUUAGUUGCCAUCAUUAAGUUGGGCACUCUGAAAGAACUGCCAGUGAUAAGCUGGAGGAAGGUGGGGAUGACGUCAAGUCCUCAUGGCCCCUACGUGUUGGGCUACACACGUGCUACAAUGGUAUCUACAACAGGAAGCAAGACUGCGAGGUCAAGCAAAUCCUUAAAAGAUACCUCAGUUCGGAUUGCACUCUGCAACUCGAGUGCAUGAAGCUGGAAUUACUAGUAAUCGUGGAUCAGCGUGCCACGGUGAAUGCGUUCCCGGGUCU
rnacentral:rRNA from 1 species